AUUGAACGCUGGCGGCAUGCCUAAUACAUGCAAGUCGAACGAGUGGCGGACGGGUGAAUAAUGUAUGGGACACUGCCUGAUGGAGGGGGAUAAAUACUGGAAACGGUAGCUAAUACCGCAUACCAUCAGAUGUGCCCAGAUGGGAUGAGCUAGUUGGUGGGGUAACGGCUCACCAAGGCGACGAUCCCUAGCUGGUCUGAGAGGAUGACCAGCACACCUGGAACUGGGACACGGUCCAGACUCCUACGGGCGGAAGAAGUGGGGAAUAUUGCACAAUGGGCGAAAGCCUGAUGCAGCAAGGCCGCGUGUAUGAAGAAGGCCUUCGGGUGGUAAAGUACGUUCAGCGGGGAGGCGGUACCCGAAGAAGAAGCACCGGCUAACUCCGUGCCAGCAGCCGCGGUAAUUC
rnacentral:rRNA from 1 species